UUUUGUUGCAGGCCCGUCGGGGUUUGGGGAAAAAUUGUGGGCUCGUUGUGUGCAAUCGCCGGUGUUUUGACGAUUGCUCUACCCGUUCCCGUAAUUGUCUCCAAU
rfam:Acromyrmex echinatior unplaced genomic scaffold scaffold499, whole genome shotgun sequence.